rnacentral:rRNA from 1 species
AACGAACGCUGGCGGCAUGCCUAACACAUGCAAGUCGAACGAGAUCCUUCGGGGUCUAGUGGCGCACGGGUGCGUAACGCGUGGGAAUCUGCCCUUAGGUUCGGAAUAACAGUUAGAAAUGACUGCUAAUACCGGAUGAUGACGUAAAGUCCAAAGAUUUAUCGCCUGAGGAUGAGCCCGCGUAGGAUUAGCUAGUUGGUGUGGUAAAGGCGCACCAAGGCGACGAUCCUUAGCUGGUCUGAGAGGAUGAUCAGCCACACUGGGACUGAGACACGGCCCAGACUCCUACGGGAGGCAGCAGUGGGGAAUAUUGGACAAUGGGCGCAAGCCUGAUCCAGCAAUGCCGCGUGAGUGAUGAAGGCCUUAGGGUUGUAAAGCUCUUUUACCCGGGAUGAUAAUGACAGUACCGGGAGAAUAAGCCCCGGCUAACUCCGUG